rnacentral:rRNA from 1 species
UACGGGGGGAGCAAGCGUUGUUCGGAUUUACUGGGCGUAAAGGGCGCGUAGGCGGCCUCCGCAAGUCAGUUGUGAAAUCUCCGAGCUUAACUCGGAAAGGUCAACUGAUACUGCGGGGCUAGAGUGCGGAAGGGGCAACUGGAAUUCUUGGUGUAGCGGUGAAAUGCGUAGAUAUCAAGAGGAACACCUGCGGCGAAGGCGGGUUGCUGGGCCGACACUGACGCUCAUGCACGAAAGCGUGGGGAGCAAACAGG